rnacentral:rRNA from 1 species
GACGAACGCUGGCGGCGUGCUUAACACAUGCAAGUCGAGCGGUAAGGCCCUUUCGGGGGUACACGAGCGGCGAACGGGUGAGUAACACGUGGGUGACCUGCCCUUAGCUCUGGGAUAAGCCUGGGAAACUGGGUCUAAUACCGGAUAUGACUCCAUGACGCAUGUUGUGGGGUGGAAAGCCUUGUGCGGCUAGGGAUGGGCCUGCGGCCUAUCAGCUUGUUGGUGGGGUGAUGGCCUACCAAGGCGACGACGGGUAGCCGGCCUGAGAGGGCGACCGGCCACACUGGGACUGAGACACGGCCCAGACUCCUACGGGAGGCAGCAGUGGGGAAUCUUGCGCAAUGGGCGAAAGCCUGACGCAGCGACGCCGCGUGGGGAUGACGGCCUGUGUACU